rnacentral:rRNA from 1 species
UCCGUAGGCGGCUUUUCAAGUUAAAAGUAAAAUCAAAAAGCUUAACUUUUUGAGGCUUUUAAUACGUUAGAGCUUGGAGUUUGAAGGGAGAUAGUAGAAUUUCAUAUGGAGGGGUGAAAUCCGUAGAAUUAUGAAGGAAUACUGAUGGCGAAGGCGACUAUCUAUUUCAAUCUGACGCUGAGGGACGAAAGCAUGGGGAGCAAACA